rnacentral:rRNA from 1 species
UACGAAGGGGGCGAGCGUUGUUCGGAAUUACUGGGCGUAAAGGGCGCGUAGGCGGCGACUCAAGUUAGAUGUGAAAGUCCUGGGCUUAACCUGGGGACUGCAUUUGAUACUGGGUUGCUUGAAUUCGGGAGAGGAUAGCGGAAUUCCCCAGUGUAGAGGUGAAAAUUCGUAGAUAUUGGGAAGAACACCGGUGGCGAAGGCGGCGUCCUGGACCAACACUGACACUGAUGAGCGAAAGCCAGGGGAGCAAACGGG